rnacentral:tRNA from 1 species
AGCUGUUUACCCUGGGGGUUAAUUUGUCUUGAAAACAAAUUUUAAGUGUUCGACUCACUUAAUAGCUU